AGUGGGGAAUUUUGGACAAUGGGGGAAACCCUGAUCCAGCCAUUCCGCGUGUGCGAUGAAGGCCUUCGGGUUGUAAAGCACUUUUGGCAGGAAAGAAAUCGCACAAAUUAAUACUUUGUGUGGAUGACGGUACCUGCAGAAUAAGCACCGGCUAACUACGUGCCAGCAGCCGCGGUAAUACGUAGGGUGCAAGCGUUAAUCGGAAUUACUGGGCGUAAAGCGUGCGCAGGCGGUUCGGAAAGAGAGGUGUGAAAUCCCAGGGCUUAACCUUGGAACUGCACUUUUAACUCCCGAGCUAGAGUAUGUCAGAGGGGGGUGGAAUUCCGCGUGUAGCAGUGAAAUGCGUAGAUAUGCGGAGGAACACCGAUGGCGAAGGCAGCCCCCUGGGAUAAUACUGACGCUCAUGCACGAAAGCGUGGGGAGCAAACAGGAUUAGAUACCC
rnacentral:rRNA from 1 species